rnacentral:rRNA from 1 species
GCCAUGGAAGUUGGGGUACCUAAAGUCGGUCACCGCAAGGAGCCGCCUAGGGUAAACCAAUGACUGGGGCU